CCUGAGCAAGACUUGCACCUCUACGUGGUGCUCAGGACUAGUAGCCAAAUUGGUGGUGAAACUAAGCAAGU
rnacentral:ribozyme from 1 species